rnacentral:rRNA from 1 species
GACGAACGCUGGCGGCGUGCUUAACACAUGCAAGUCGAACGGUGAAGCGAGUGCUUGUUCUCGUGGAUCAGUGGCGAACGGGUGAGUAACACGUGAGUAACCUGCCCAUCACUCUGGGAUAAGCACUGGAAACGGUGUCUAAUACUGGAUACGACCAACCCUUGCAUGGGGUGUUGGUGGAAAGAUUUAUCGGUGAUGGAUGGACUCGCGGCCUAUCAGCUUGUUGGCGGGGUAAUGGCCCACCAAGGCGACGACGGGUAGCCGGCCUGAGAGGGUGACCGGCCACACUGGGACUGAGACACGGCCCAGACUCCUACGGGAGGCAGCAGUGGGGAAUAUUGCACAAUGGGCGAAAGCCUGAUGCAGCGACGCCGCGUGAGGGAUGACGGCCUUCGGGUUGUAAACCUCUUUCAGCAGGGAAGAAGCGAAAGUGACGGUACCUGCAGAAGAAGCACCGGCUAACUACGUG